AAAUAGCCCUGAUUGAAGUGGCAGCUCCCGAUUUAAAAAAUCGGGACCAAAACGUAAAGCAGGACUGAAG
rnacentral:sRNA from 1 species